CUAAAAACACCCCUUUUCACACCACUAACAAUAAACAGAUAACAAUCUGUCAGGCAUUCAGAGCUAAACAGGGUACUGAUUAUCAGGGGCAGAUAAGGCUACUGAUAGGGUUUGCCCAGACAUAAGGCUGGAAUGAGGUAUAAGACUUUUGAUUGGUUCAAUUUUUUGCACAGGAAAUUAUUUGAAAACAACAACUUUUGAAAAACAAGCUGGUUUCAGCAAUUAAAUUGAGCUAAAUUAAAUUAACAUUAAGACUUAUAAAAUGUAUUGAAAUACUGUCAGCAUGAAGUAUUGUGUGAUGAAAACAAUGUGUAUUUUACUACAAUUUGGAAAUCAACAAUAAGUUUGUUGGAAAUCAAGUUCAACUGUGUUUUUUGUGAAUAUUGAAGAACAGUUUUAACAGGUUUGUAUUGUCAUUUCUUCAUCCUUUUUGUUAUUUAGUUUACUGAAUUAAUUAUGAUCAUUAUUAUAUUUAUGUAUUGUCACUGGGAAAUGUAAAUUGAUAAGUUAAUGUAUUGCAACUUAAAGGAAAAACAACACAAUUUGAAGCAAAAAUAGAUGAACAUACACAUGACAAAGUGUAAAUGUUGUGUACAGUGAAUUAUUGUGGUUGUGUUUUAUGAUUAUUGUCAUCUUUAUUGUUAUUUAUAGAUAUUUCUGGUUAUUACUGAACAGAUUUCUUUCCCUCAUAUUUUAAUUUUGAAGGUUAAACUCUUGCCCCAAGAGCAAAAUGGGUUAUCAUACUACCUGAUGUAUGGACUUUUACACCAGGCUUUUACCCUGCACAAGCUGGCCAACUUGAGGGGAACUGAAGUGGGCAAACCUCGCCCUGUCCUUGAACAAGAAAGCUGGAUUUGUUGAGAGAGUAUCAUUUAAGCUGAAAUCCAGCAUUAAACAAGGGAGGUGAUGGCCAUCGCACAGGCCAUGUGCCGACUAUUCACUUUCCACCAGCUUGUAACUUGCUCCAUGAAGGGAGCAACAACUACAACUGGGUCACCAAGACCAAGCCUCCCCGCUGCUGAGAGAAAUGCAAUCAUUGAUGUCAUAGCCAAAACCUUUGACAAGCCCCUGGUUGAUGUUGAAGAAAAGAUGAGAGGUUGUUUAAGGCAUCUGCGGCUGAUGCACAAGUAGACUGAAGUCUUUGUAAAUAAAAUGUGCUGUUAAAAUGAUUAUUUAACCAUUGUUUUUACUUUGUUAUAUUGAUUUGCGCCUGUUUCAACAUUAACUUAUUUUUAUGCUCCCGGUAGGGUCUCAUAUAGCAGUUGAACUGUCCGUCUGUCUGUCUAUCCGUCCGAAAACUUCAGCAUUGGUCAUAACUUUUGCAAUAUUGAAGAAAGCAACUUGAUAUUUAGCAUGCAUGUGUAUCUCAUUGAGCUGCACAUUUUGAGUGGUGCAAGGUCAAGGUCAUCCUUCAAGGUCAGAGGUCAAAAUCCAAUGGAAGACAUAAGCAAAGAGAGAUUAUUUCUAAACCUGCCAAAUGAUAAAUAGAAAUUUUAUUUCAAAGCGGCGCAGUAGGGGGCAUUGUGUUUCUGACAAACACAUCUCUUGUUUGUAUUUAUUCCAUACAAUCUUACUUUUUUCAGUUCUUUCUUUGUGUUCAAUGUUAUGUUAUAACACUAUUAUAUUUUAUUAUAACAAUGCCAUGUCUGUCAAAAUAGUUUUAUCAUGCUGUGUAUAUGGAUAUAUAUGUAAAGUUUUAUGUUUUAUCGUUUAAAAAAGUAAUUAGAAUUUAUUCAUGAUAUUUUUGUUCUUAUCAUAAAAAAGUUUUUCAGUUUUCAAGUGGGUGAAAAGUGGGUUUUUACUGAGCAUUUAACAGGUUUUAAAGCUAGUUUUAACUGCGUUUAAUCUGUGAAAAGCAUACAUUUAGCUCACUUAAUGCUCAAAUAAAAACCCACUUUUAACUCGCUUAAGAACAGGAAAAACCGACUUGAUGUGUAGAAGCGGGUGUAAAAGCCAACAUAAAGAAGGAAAACACACUAACUUUUAACCAACUUAAGUUGGUAAAACUCGGUUUUAAAGCGUGUUUUAACUGCGUUAAAUCUGAGUUAAGCACACAUUUAGCUCACUUAACACUCAAACAAAAACCCACUUUUUAACUCGCUUAAGAACAGGAAAAACCGACUUGAUGUGUAGAAGCGGGUUUAAAAGCCAACAUAGAGAAGGAAAACACACUCACUUUUAACCCACUUAAGUUGGUUUAAGUUAGUUUUAGUUGGUUUAAGUUGGUAUAAGAAGGUAUAAGCGUGUUGGUUUAUGUGAGUGAAAUCCAGGUUUUACCUACAAAAAACCAAGUCGGUAAGCAAAAAGUGUGUUUAAAAGACACGCUUUAACCCGGUGCCAAUACCGCAGGGUUUAACACGGUUUUAACACGGAUUAAAACCGGGUUUUGCCCACUUUUUUGA